GGGGUUAUUACGGAUUCGACAGCGGGUCGAAAUGGUACGUAAGCAUGCGGAGAGUGGCAGACUGGCUCCUUAAUCCCAGUAGGCGAUAAAUUUAAUUGGCGAAACUAAUUACGCUCUCGCUGCCUAACCGAAGUACAGUAGGUUACUGGCUUAUCCUGUCAUAAGAUGAUGGGACGAGACAUCACUCAAAAGGCUGUUGUUCCGAAGCAUUUUGGUCAAGUGGUGCAUCGUAAAUCGGAAAUAGUCAACGUUUGCUCCGAAAUGUUGAUGAAGAUUUUAGGAGAUAAGGUUGCAGUUGGUGGUCCAGGUCUUGCAGCAGCACGAAAAUCAAAACUGGAAUAAGCAUGUAGAAAGCGUAUGGUUUCCCUGUUUGGACGAGGGUUCGACUCCCUCUAACUCCACAA
rnacentral:tmRNA from 1 species